UACGGGGGGGGUAAGCGUUGUUCGGAAUUACUGGGCGUAAAGGGCUCGUAGGCGGCCAACUAAGUCAGACGUGAAAUCCCUCAGUUUAACUGGGGAACUGCGUCUGAUACUGGAUGGCUUGGAUUCGGGAGAGGAAUGCGGAAUUCCAGGUGUAGCGGUGAAAUGCGUAGAUAUCUGGAGGAACACCGGUGGCGAAGGCGGCAUUCUGGACCGACAUUGACGCUGAGGAGCGAAAGCCAGGGGAGCAAACGGG
rnacentral:rRNA from 1 species